rnacentral:rRNA from 1 species
UACGGAGGGGGCAAGCGUUGUCCGGACUUACUGGGCGUAAAGGGUGCGUAGGUGGCCUGCCACGUCGGUGCUGAAAGCGCCCGGCUCAACCGGGCGAGGCGUGCCGAUACGAGUGGGCUCGAGCCUCGGAGAGGGCGGUGGAACUCCUGGUGUGAGUGGUGAAAUGCGUAGAGAUCAGGAAGAACACCCGUGGCGCAAGCGGACCGCCCUGGCCGAGAGCUGACACUGAGGCACGAGAGCGUGGGGAGCGAACCGGAUUAGAAACCCCGUGGUA